GUUCUCCUUGCUCUCUAUGGUGAAUUGGAAGCACAUAUAAAAGAAUAUGCAAUGUUUUCUACAUUUUCUUAUUUAUAAAAAGAUAUUCUUUUCCCCCUACUUUGUUAAUGUAGGUCAUGUCCGGAUGAUGUCCCUCAAUUCCUUUUUUGUUUGUUGGGAUUAUGAGGUAAUAGUUGUUAUGUGUUGCCCCCCUAUAUUUUUUAGUCACAACUAAUCGUUACUUUCUACUUGCUAUUUUCAUUUUCGAUAUGUAGUGGAAACUUAUCUUACGUUCUCCGUUAUUCUUCAAUAGCUACUGUUGUGGUAAGUAUGCAAACUUGUCUAUUGUUUCCUCUUGCCUCUUCUUACUUUUUAUGAAGUAUUGGAUGAUUAAUUUAAUUAUUGUGGCAUUUAUUUAGUAUUUUGACAAAGAUUAUGAAAUGAGUUAGUUUUCUUCCCUAAUGAUUAUUUGAUCUAACUGAUUUUGGUUUUCUGUGGCUUACAAAUGGCAUUAAUUUGCCAUAACUAAGCAAUGAUUCCCUUUGAAGUGCUUAUGGAAAACUGAAAAUGCUGUGCUUUCAUUCUUGGUGGAUGAAGCUGCAUCAGAAACAAAGAAGAGAGAGCUUUAUGGAACACUUUCUUGUUUGUUAAAAACAAAAUUCACUCCGGUACAUUCUUAGUUUGUUACUGGUCUCCUAGUGCUGUUGAAUAAAAUGAUGCUUUUAUUUA